rnacentral:tRNA from 1 species
GGAGGAUUAGCUCAGCUGGGAGAGCAUCUGCCUUACAAGCAGAGGGUCGGCGGUUCGAGACCGUCAUCCUCCACCA